CUGUAAAGUCCUAGCGACUAUUUUGAAUCGAUACGCUUAUAUCUACUGAAAAUUUUCUUUAAAGAAUGUUUCCACUUGAAAUAAAAUUUAAAAUAAGUAUAAACAUAAAAAAAAUUAUGCAGUGAGCGAAAAGAAUUAAAAUUCAUAACGGAUCAGAUACAAACUCUUCUUACAAUUUUAGCCAGAAUAGAUGUGAUGGAUAUUGCAGUGGACUAAUUGGCUCGAUGUGUUUCAAAAGUUUCGAUUGCACAGCAGAUAAUGCGAUCUGCGAUGAAUCAAAAACUCGCCAAUGUCCUAUUUACUUUCGUCCAUCUGUCAACAAAGAGGAGUGUCAUCCAUAUGCAGAAAAACAAAUCGAUUUCUAUAAUACUGAUAUUGCUUGUCAUAAUCUUAAAUACACUUACUCUUCUGAAGACUAUAAAUGUGCCUGUUUACAAAACUACAUCACAAUUGACGGCCAUUAUCGGGACUUCAUUAACACCAGUAGAAGUAAUUGUCAGUCAUUCGCUAAUCGAGUUAAUGAUUUUGUGAAACGAACAAUAGCUGCCGUAACCUUAAUAAUAUUUACUGUUCUACAGACCACAAAUGCGUUUGUCUUAAAAAUUAUACUUUCAUAGAAAAUUAUUGUCGGGGAUCUGUAGGAUCGAAUGGUUCUAACGAUUUCGAUUGCGCCUCUGAAAAUUCAGUCUGCAGCAAAUCGACCUGCCAAUGCCACGAUAAUUUCUAUCUCUGCAAAUAAAAAAAUAUGUUAUCCUUAUAUCUAAUAGUUUUAAUAAUUACGUCGUCGUUUCUAUUUUAAUUUCUCGGCACAGAUAAUUUUUGUGAAGAUGACGUUUGUUAUCGCAAUCUUAAGUAUACACACUGUUCAAAAAACAAUAAAUGUACUUCUGUACCAAAUUACGUUCAAGUUGACGAUCGUUGUCGCGGACUUAUCAAUGCAAAACGCUCUAAAAAUCCGUGAUCAAAAUGUAGAUAUUGACUGAGCAAUUAAUCCAACGCAUGGAUUGGUGGGAGAUUUGUUUUAGACAUCGAUUGCAACGGUCAUGUUUCUGAACAAUUGCGAGUUCCGAUCAAUGAUCAAUUAAAUUCCGAGCAAUAGACUGAGGCAAAAUUAAUUACGAACUGUGCACAAGUUUCCAAGUUUUUCUAUUGAACAAUUGAACAACCCGAAGUAUCGGCAAGAAAGUGAUCAGCGUGUAUCGGUAAUCGUGUAAAACCGUUUUUUUUGUGUUGACAAGCGAAAUGCGUGAUUAAAGUUUUUUUUCGGAUACUAUUUUAUUAGUUACGCAUCAUAGAAUCAUAGUAAUUUGGCGGGUUACCGAAUAUAAAAUUAAUUUUCUGUAAUACCAACCGCGGAAGUUAGAUUUUUGAACUAUAGUUUGUCUUUGAUCAAGUCACAAGCCGAGUUUUGGCGAACUGAUUUUUUCUUCGUUAACUCAAUUUUAUAUUUUGUGAUAUCGAUUCAUUUAGUUGUUUUGUUCAAUAUACGAUAAUUUAUGUGUUUUUAAUUCGAAACAAUUUUUUAAUCGUAAUUUUGAGUCCUGACCUUUCUCCAAUCCGCUACCCUGAGUCGUAUCAUAUGAAAUUUGUUUAUUGGUGAUGAUUAAAUCACCUAGCGCCCAUCCUAAUGAUUAUCGAACAAGGUUGCCAUUUGUAAGUGUACUUGGACAUCAC